AUGAGCCAAGAUUGGCACCCUUUAAGGUGCUACAUAGUAUUAAACUGAAGAGUUUGAUCAUGGCUCAGAUUGAACGCUGGCGGCAGGCUUAACACAUGCAAGUCGAGCGGGGAAAGGUAGCUUGCUACCUGACCUAGCGGCGGACGGGUGAGUAAUGCUUAGGAAUCUGCCUAUUAGUGGGGGACAACAUCUCGAAAGGGAUGCUAAUACCGCAUACGUCCUACGGGAGAAAGCAGGGGACCUUCGGGCCUUGCGCUAAUAGAUGAGC
rnacentral:rRNA from 1 species